GGUAAGAUAAAAUGCUCUCCGAGGGUCAGUUAAAAAGUCUUGUUAUCUAUCACCUUGUUAGCAUCUGUCAGAGAAGGAAAGAAAAUAAGACCGAAAAAAAAAAGAAAAGAAAAAAGAAAGAGAAAGAAAAGGAAAGAAGAUUCGAUUUUUUUUUUUUUCUUGUUGGGCGAUUUUCCUCUUCACAUAAGCAGAUAUAAAGCAGUGCAGUGCACGGUUGAAGAACGCAUUGGAGUGGAAGCUGCUAUAGUCGCCAGAGAUUGAACAAGUCGAAGCUAUUGAUGUAUAUCGUUUCCGUAUUAUUUCCUUGUCCCUGUCACGAGAUUAGUCAACAAAUUCGUCUUAGAGACAUUCAAAUUGAUAAUGGAUAAUAUGUCAAAUUUUAUUUCUACUCAGCUGACCACACGACUUGGUAUGAGUAAUCUAUCAGAGUGCCAUACUGGACAGAAGCCUGCUGUGUGAUCUGAUUGUGUGGCUGAUGUAAUCAACCCAGUUUGUUGUGAUUUAAUUUUUU